CCCUUCUCUGCUGACACAUCCGGUGGAAAAGGGGAAAGAGCAGCUGAGAAGGUGCGAGCAGGAAAGUGAAGGUGUUUGUGAAAAGUAGGAAAAUGACAAAAGGUUUUAGGGAUGUUACUGCUGAUAUGCGCGGAGUCGCUGGUGAUGAAGCGAGCUUAGCUGUCAGGGCUCUCAUUUGACGGGGACCCAGCCUCGCAGGCAGGUGCUCUGACAGCCCCACAGCCCAGGGGACGAUGAAGGGGUGCACGGCUGAGUUCGCCAUUCUGACGCACCCAUCUGAGACGGGACUGGGGACAAAGCUGGGUGAGACGCAGCUGUGCCCAGACACCCAUUUUGCUGGGUUAUUUCUGAUGGCGAGGUAACUCCAAACAUAGAAAUCCUUUCUGCAUGAGAUACGUAUGAACUAGAAAGAAGAGGUACCUUCUUAGUGGGCAAACACGAUAAACACACUUUACUUAGUAAUUGAAAUAAAUAUUCGAAGAAAUGGGAUGAGUGAUGGGCCACGUCCCCUGAAAAGAUGCACAGAGAAGAA